ACACAUUGCCCUGGACAGCAGAGAGACAAACAGACACACUGCCCCGGACAGCAGACAGACAGACACGUUGCCCCGGACAGCAGACAGAAAAACUGCCCCGGACAGCAGACAGACAGACAAACUGCCCCAGACAGCAGACAGACAAACUGCCCCGGAAAGCAGACAGCAAACUGCCCCAGACAGCAGACAGACAGACACACUUCCCCAGACAGCAGAUAGACAGACACCCUGCCCCAGACAGCAGACAAGCUGCCCUGGACAGCCUGCUCACCUUGCCUGCCACAGUGCAUGCCCCACAGGGAGAAGCCUUCCUUCUCACCCAGGGAGUCCAGCCAUUUUCACCUCCCCUGGUCCAUGCUCAGGAAGUCUGGUCACCCUGGCAAACUGCACCUGACAUUGAGGUCCCUUUUCACCAAAGAUGCACAAGGUGUCCAUGCCGAGCCGACAUCAUUCAGGCCAAGGGCAGAGGAUGUAAUGAGGGGUGGAGUGAGGAUGUGGAGAGAGAGCAGAGAGCGCCUCCUAUUCUACCGCGGCUGCCUCUGCCCCCACAGCACCCACAGAUCCCUGGCCCUUCCAGGAGUAAGUCCUGGGCAGGCAGAGCUGGGGUUGGCCUGAUCCCACCUGCCUUGCUCUUGGAAAGGACAUCAGGUGUGGGCAAAGCAUCCUUGAAGCCCAGACAACACAGGCAUGGCCUGCGUGCCCUCCCAGCAUCUGCUGCGAUGGCCUCAAGGCCUCUCCAGUCCCCUGCUGCACCAUGCCACUCAGAGCCCCUGAGUGAGCCCCCUGGAAUUGUCUGCACCCCCCAAGCCCCAACAGGAAGAAGGGAAAGGUGGGGAAGCUGACGCUCACUCAGUGCCCACUGGGUGCCAGGCUCUGGGCUCAACCCUCUAAUAUCCACACAUUCCAUCCCCCCAGCCCCAUGUAGAUGGUGGGGUUAAGACCAUUCUUCAGAUGUGGAAAUGAAGGCUCUGGGAGACCACAGGACAUGCCCAAGGCAAAGAGUUGGUAGUCCCUGGAUUUGGGAAUCAAACUCAAGCCCAUCUAAUCCAAGGGUAGGAAAUGUCUCUAAAACGUUGAUCAAUCUGAAGCUUACAGAUUGGAAACUGGGCCAGGUCAGCCCUGGCGGUGGAGUCCAGAGACAGAGAGAAGGCUGCAGGGAGGGGAGAGAACAGGAGGAUCCCGGGCCAGGGUGACUUCAGUGACAUUCCUUCCCUCCUUCACAAGCACGAAAAACUCGUUCGGAGAAAAGACAGCUUCUGCCUUCCCUACCAGGCGGACAGGGUACUCACUGUGCCGACGUGAGCAGACACAGCCAGAGGCUCAAGUGCCCUUGCCGAGUGUCCCCACUGCUCUUGGGGAGGCCCCGGCACAGCCCUGCAGAGAUGCAAGUAAGAGAGUGCCCAGUGCCCUCGGCAGAUGGGUGGCAGAAAGCAGGAGGAGGAAGAGGGAGCUGACCGAUGCCGGGUGUCUUACUCCGCUGAGAUCAGAACCUCCAACAUGCCGAGCAGACGCAGGCCACAUUGCUCGGGGAACAGGACACCAGGGCGCUGUGCUAGCGGCCCGCAGACUUCACUUCUGGCUCCUGUGAGGGCACUGUAUUGUCCAGACGCUUGGCAACGACUCUGCCUGCAAGUGGCAAAUACCAACAUAACCACAUCUUCCUUUUAGUUGCCACAAAUAUUCAGUUUUGUUUUAUCCAUCAUGUCCCCCAUAUGCAUGUAAUGAAACAUUUGUGAAAAUCACUUUAAUAAUAAACAGGAAAUGAACCU
rnacentral:lncRNA from 10 species